UACAGAGGGUGCGAGCGUUAAUCGGAUUUACUGGGCGUAAAGCGUGUGUAGGCGGUUCGUUAAGUCGGAUGUGAAAGCCCUGGGCUCAACCUAGGAAUUGCACUCGAUACUGGCGAGCUAGAGUACGGUAGAGGGCGGCGGAAUUCCGGGUGUAGCGGUGAAAUGCGUAGAUAUCCGGAGGAACACCGAUGGCGAAGGCAACCGCCUGGGCCUGUACUGACGCUGAGACACGAAAGCGUGGGGAGCAAACAGG
rnacentral:rRNA from 1 species